UACGGAGGGGGCUAGCGUUGUUCGGAAUUACUGGGCGUAAAGCGCACGUAGGCGGAUUGGAAAGUUGGGGGUGAAAUCCCGGGGCUCAACCCCGGAACUGCCUUCAAGACUCCCAGUCUGGAGUCCGAGAGAGGUGAGUGGAAUUCCGAGUGUAGAGGUGAAAUUCGUAGAUAUCAAGCAGAACACCUGCGGCGAAGGCGGCCUUCUGGACGAUGACUGACGCUGAGACGCGAAAGCGUGGGGAGCAAACAGG
rnacentral:rRNA from 1 species